GACGAACGCUGGCGGCGUGCUUAACACAUGCAAGUCGAACGGAAAGGCCCCUUCGGAGGUACUCGAGUGGCGAACGGGUGAGUAACACGUGGGCAAUCUGCCCUGCACUUCGGGAUAAGCCUGGGAAACUGGGUCUAAUACCGGAUAGGACCUCAAGACGCAUGUCUUCUGGUGGAAAGCUUUUGCGGUGUGGGAUGGGCCCGCGGCCUAUCAGCUUGUUGGUGGGGUGACGGCCUACCAAGGCGACGACGGGUAGCCGGCCUGAGAGGGUGUCCGGCCACACUGGGACUGAGAUACGGCCCAGACUCCUACGGGAGGCAGCAGUGGGGAAUAUUGCACAAUGGGCGCAAGCCUGAUGCAGCGACGCCGCGUGGGGGAUGACGGCCUUCGGGUUGUAAACCUCUUUCACCAUCGACGAAGGUCCGGGUUUUCUCGGAUUGACGGUAGGUGGAGAAGAAGCACCGGCCAACUACGUGCCAGCAGCCGCGGUAAUACGUAGGGUGCGAGCGUUGUCCGGAAUUACUGGGCGUAAAGAGCUCGUAGGUGGUUUGUCGCGUUGUUCGUGAAAUCUCACGGCUUAACUGUGAGCGUGCGGGCGAUACGGGCAGACUAGAGUACUGCAGGGGAGACUGGAAUUCCUGGUGUAGCGGUGGAAUGCGCAGAUAUCAGGAGGAACACCGGUGGCGAAGGCGGGUCUCUGGGCAGUAACUGACGCUGAGGAGCGAAAGCGUGGGGAGCGAACAGGAUUAGAUACCCUGGUAGUCCACGCCGUAAACGGUGGGUACUAGGUGUGGGUUUCCUUCCUUGGGAUCCGUGCCGUAGCUAACGCAUUAAGUACCCCGCCUGGGGAGUACGGCCGCAAGGCUAAAACUCAAAGGAAUUGACGGGGGCCCGCACAAGCGGCGGAGCAUGUGGAUUAAUUCGAUGCAACGCGAAGAACCUUACCUGGGUUUGACAUGCACAGGACGCGUCUAGAGAUAGGCGUUCCCUUGUGGCCUGUGUGCAGGUGGUGCAUGGCUGUCGUCAGCUCGUGUCGUGAGAUGUUGGGUUAAGUCCCGCAACGAGCGCAACCCUUGUCUCAUGUUGCCAGCGGGUAAUGCCGGGGACUCGUGAGAGACUGCCGGGGUCAACUCGGAGGAAGGUGGGGAUGACGUCAAGUCAUCAUGCCCCUUAUGUCCAGGGCUUCACACAUGCUACAAUGGCCGGUACAAAGGGCUGCGAUGCCGUAAGGUUAAGCGAAUCCUUUUAAAGCCGGUCUCAGUUCGGAUUGGGGUCUGCAACUCGACCCCAUGAAGUCGGAGUCGCUAGUAAUCGCAGAUCAGCAACGCUGCGGUGAAUACGUUCCCGGGCCU
rnacentral:rRNA from 1 species